rnacentral:lncRNA from 1 species
CCUCUACCAUCCGCCAUGCCACUCGUCGCUCCUUCGUCCAUGGCUCCUCACCCUCUUCCCGAUCUUAAAAGAAAAAAAAAGGCUAAGUAGUAAGCCUUAACCUCCGACUCCUCCGCCUUUCUCUGCCUGCAGCUUUGCCACCCGUGGCUCCUCCUCCGCCUGUGGCUCCACAUCUUCUUUCCUAUCUUAAAAGAAAGGAUAAAUUAUAAAAAUUCUCUUAAGAAUAG